AUGGAGUUCUCUGAAUCGCAUCGAAGUUGUCAUCCGAUAUUUCGGAAAUUGUCGUUAGGGAAAUAAUUAUGUGUACCUGCUGUGAACGCAUUAGUAAUAAACUAUUUACUUCUUUGCCGUGAAACUUGAAGUAUUUAAUCCCUUAAACAUGUAUAAGAUGAUCACCUUUUGCUAGGAAGCCUAAUUUGUGUCUAUGUUCUGUAUAUAACAUCAACAUGAAAUCCCAUGUUUUGGUCUUGUCUGCAUUGGUUAUAUUUGUUUGCUUAAUUAGUCAAGGUCUUCAAAACAAGCUUAUCUAUUCGACUGAAAAUGCAAUUAAAGAAAUCAACCUGCGCUCCGGGAACGUAUCAGUUCUCUUGUCAAAUUUAAUGAGUAACAUUUAUUCUUUGGAUUGUGAUUAUAAAACUGGGUAUAUCUAUUUUCCGAGACAUAAUUUAAACGUCAUAUCGAGAUUUCGUUAUCCAGCUGAUGAACCUUACAUAGUAGAAAAUGUGAUAACUGCAGCGGAACCAAUAGCACUAGUGAUUGAUCCAUUAGACGAAAAUGUAUAUUGGACAGAAUUAUACACAGGAAAGAUUUAUAGAUGUGAUUUAAAUGGCCUAAAUAAAACCUUUAUACUUCAAGAUGACAAACUAUAUGCUAUAACACUAGACUAUCGGAACAGAUGGUUGUAUUACAGUACCUUUGGAACGACAAGAAAAAUUAGGCGAGCAAGGUUAAAUGGUACCGAAAUACGGACAGUUAUAGACUCAGUAGAAGUAACUGGUUUGGGUAUAAAUACCAAUGGAUGGCGACUUUACUGGAUGGUACAUAACAUAGGUGAACUGAGAUCCUCAACUCUGAAUGGAACAAAUAUCAUUAAAGUUUUCAAUACGAAAAACUCAACAAGCAUAGGUAUCUAUGUACAUGAUAGCAAUAUCUACUGUACAAAUGGCCUCCAACUACUUAAGGUCACAACAUUGCCAGCAAAAACGGCGUAUGUUUUACACACAGAUACAGCAACAACUCAUGGUGUCCUUUUGUAUGAUGGUGGGUAUAUAUUUAAAUAUUAUGAAGGAAACAUUGAUAUUACCUAACAUAUCUCCUCGUUUUGUUUUAUAAUUGUUUUUGAAAGAGAGGCGACACAUAUCAAAGGGCCAUUCAAUCUCAAGACGAAAAUAAACUGAAAACGCCAUGGCAAAAAAGAAAGAAAAAACAACAGAAAUGGACCAAAAGACAAACAGCAGUAUACAAAAUACAUCAUAGUAAAAACUAACGACUGAGCAACACGAACCCCACCAAAAAUCGGGAGUGAUCUCAGGUGCUCCGAACGGGUAAGAAGAUCCUUCUCCAAAUCUAAGAAAAGAUCUGGUGAUAAGUCUAAUUUGGUAGGCACAUUCGAGGAAACGGGUACGGGAUUGUGGUGACAAUGAUAGGAACAAUUAGGACAUAUGUUAAUGAUUAAAUAUCCAUAAAAACUGUUAAAAUAUUUAGAUAAAUUGGAUUUUAAACUUAAUUAGAAUAGAUUAUCAAAUGCACGACGCGAUACAAGCUGGUAAAACGAAUGAUGACAUUUUUUUUAAAUUCUGUAUUUGUUCUUCAAUUUCAUUAUUAUGUGUUACAGAUGAACAAACACUAGAAAUGGUGUUGUUGUUGAUUUGCAUUAAUAUGACAUUGCGAAGAUAUUACGAUUGUUAUAUUGAAUUGUUAAACAAAUGUUUGUCUGAAUUGUGUGCAAUAGUUGGGUGCUGCUUGCGUUUUUAUGUAUGUUCUAAUUGAUAUAUUAAGUUAUUUUGCUUUUUUUUCUGUUUACUUACAUGAUUUAACAAAGAGAAACGUAUUGGUAAACCGCAAAAUGUAUCAAGUACGUUGAAUGCUAUAGUUCAUUACCAUGAAAAAGAUGAACAGUAGUUUAUUGAUGUAAACAAUCUUUGUAUAUACAAACCAAUAAAACAUGAAGAAACCAUAUGAACUUUAAAAGAGGGGCGAAAGAUGUUAAAUGUAAUAGGACCGGGUGCACCAAGAAAGAAAUUGUUUCCAAUGUAUGUAAUAGUAGAUCAGCAAUGGUAAUUUGAUCAAAAAUGUCACAAAAGGGGAAUUACUACGCAAUCAUAUAAAGUACAGCUCACUUGACUCUAACCACGUACGACCUCGAAAAAUUACAUCGUGAGGUAUCGCAAUAGCUACAAUUAACUUGCCUUUACAAACCUAUUGAUAUACAAAAAGAAAGCGCUCAAGUUCUCUGUAUUCUCUUAAACGAGGAUCAGUAACUUAAGUUCCGCUGUCUAAAAUUACUCUACAGAAACGUGCUUGCACAUACAAAUCGGUAUCAUUAUUAGUUUUAUAUUUAACGAGAUGUUACUACAUAUAAUUGUAAGCUUUACUAACCUUUUUAAUUGUCUGCUCUAGCAUUAUUAAUAGAACGAUAAUCCAUAAUUUUCCUGUUAUUUGUAUUCUGGUUCACUUAAUCAUAAAAGCAGUUCUAUAAUCUAACGAACUUUAGAGAAAGGAAAAGAACUAUUUUAUAUUGUCAUGUUACAUGCAUCUUUCUAUCAAUGUUUUAGUUAAUCUAAGUAAAAUUGUUUCAAACUUGAAAACGCAUUGUUAUUUUUUUUUUUUUUUUGCUUUGAAAAAAUGUUCAAUUGCAUAUUAGAUAUGUUUGAAAACCUUUAGCUAUCUUGGACUUCACGGGCAUCCAAAUGUGAGUAAUUAUCUUUUAAGUAUUCAUUUAUUAAAAACACUUCAAAAUCAGCACAUUUUAAAUAUGUUCUCGAAAUUCAAUGAUUUGUGCUUUUUCCGACCUAAAAGCUUGUGGAAACCCUUGGCCGCAACCUAGGAUCCAAAAUGUUUUGUAAACAAGAAUUGCCAAUGAUGAUAUUGAAUCCCUAGACAGAAAAACCUUCUAGAUACUGGGUGGCGGCCAAAGUAAAUUAUGGUAAAAACUGUCAAGAAUUAUUGAAAAUUUUACCUCAAAUGACGUUACAACUCAAAUAAGAGCCAAUACUUUGUCAUUUUUAAUAUGAUGUGCCAAAAUUAAGUUGUGUUGUAUUAAUUGUAAUAUCAUAACUAUUUCUAUGAAAAAAUUGUAGUAUUAUGGCCUGAUUAAAAAAUACAUCCAAAUCUGACGGCCAAUUUUAACCGUUCGUGAACGGAAACUUUACAAAGGUUUGUUUUAAUUCAUACGUUGAUGAUAACUUCAAGAAUUAAUAAUCCACUACAAACCGUAUCGACCAAGUGCUGAACUAAAACGAAAACAACACUGUAACACGUCUAAGCGCUUUCAUGGGUUAACCUUCAUCGGGAUCGCUUAAUGGUGAAGAUUCGAGAUAUUUAAGUUAUAAUAUUUGUUAUCUGGAAAUUGAACAAUUAAGGGGACAGUGGAUUAUAUAAAGGUUUUUGAUCGAUAGAGUAAAUGUGUAUGUUCAUACUAAAACUAUUUGUAUAUUCAAAAUAGUAAUUAACUAUCUUUUAACAAUUCUAUUAAUUAUGACCACGUAUGUUUCAGAUUGGGAUUACCACGAACAUACCUGACUUACAUUCCCAGUUGUUAAAGUAAUGAUAAAUCAAGCUUUUUAUUAUAAUACAUUAAAUGACUGAGUUGCAAUCACCAACACAGACAUAUGGGAUGAAAUAUGCAUGCAGUUACCAACGCUGCAUUUUUGACAGAGACAAAAUAUUGAACAUUCGGUGCACAUUCUUAACAUUGCUCAAAACGAUAAUUGUGACCAUUAUCAUUCUUGUGAUAUUAAUAGCACUUAGAUACAAUAAACAAUCAUUGUUUAGUAAUAUAAUGGAUCUGUUCAGUGACAUACUGGUAACUUUGAUGAAAAGAAACUGAACAAUAACAAUAUUUUUCUGCCAGAAGAUGUAUACAUACAUAUGUAUAUUUUAAUCUUUAUGAUAGACAAUAAACAAAAAGGAAUGUUUAUCAUAUAUGAAGUCUAGCAAUUACACUUUUGAUCGACAACGACAUGGCAGAAACUAGAGGCAUAUGUAUAUGAUGCAAUGGGUUCUUUACUUUUUUAAUAAAUCAGAACAAUAAAUAAGACUUAAUGAUAAUGUUAAAAAAAAAAUUCAUCAGUCUUUGCUUAACAUUGUAAAUAUUAGUAAGUAAUUGUGACUUAUACAACUGCUUGAAAUUGGUUUUACUGUUUGUAAGUCAUGUUUCUGAUAUAUUAAAAAAGAUUCUUUUUUUAAUUUUAUUAUGAUUAUAGUCAGAAGCGUCUUUUUAGUUCAGCUCUGUUAUUACAUUUUUUUUUCAGGUCAUACUUAUAUUUUGUGAUAUUAUAAAAUAUAUUAUGGAAUGAUUUAUAAUGUAAAUUCAGAAAUUAUUCCUUGCAUUUAUUAUAUUGCGAUUUUUGAAGAAUGGACAAAAAUUCGAGAUUAAUCAUGUUAAUUAUUGCUAUUUCAUGAACAUAUAUAUACCAAUAUCUUUAUCAGAUAUUCGAAUACGAGUUCUUAUUAUCAUUCAGUCUCAUUUUGGUAAUUUACAAUAGGCUUAAUUAAUGUAAAUUCAGACUUGGUGAUUAUCGACUAGUUUUCAUCAUGAACCAAUAUAACAUCAAUAAUCAUAGGUUCUCGUUUAUCAUUACUAAAAUUAUAUUGGAAAUGUACAUUUCAGGGAAGAUUUUGACUUUUUAAGUUCAAAAAUUUUGACUGUUCACAUACGUGACAAUUUUUAUAUUGUAAAAAUGGACGAUAUUGUAAUUAAUCAUUAUAUACAGAUCUAACAUGUUGUUUUUCAAAAAUGUUCAGUCAUAUGAUGGCUUAGUGUUGGUCUUGUGUGAUAGAUAUACAUGUAUAUAAACUAUGGUUAAUUUGCUGAUUGUGGAACUUUAACAUGUUUAACGUGUUUUAAAAUUGUUACUAUAGAAUGAAACUUUAGAAUAUAUUUUUUUAAUUGU